GGCUUGCGUGCUGUAGGUCCUGUGCACGCCAAGCUAGGUGGGCACGCCUACAAGCUAGGCCUCUAGUGUAUGUCCGACUGGGGCAACGUGUAACUACCUCGGCCUAUGCACGCUAACCCUUUAGGUGGCAAGUUGUCGCCGGCUUAGGCGGUGUGCUGCCAUCGCUUAGGCAACGUACCACAGUCGAUUUGGUGGUGUGCCUCUAUUUUCGCACCGUCGUCAUGUCGC
rnacentral:lncRNA from 1 species